rnacentral:rRNA from 1 species
GCAGCAAGCUAUUUUGGCUGCUCUCAGAAAAGCUAAGCAGGGUCAGUCCUGGAUAAUAUUGGGUGGGAGACAACAGGGAGAUUUCAGGGCUGCA